UUGAUGAUUAGUGCUACGUUUUCAGCUCCAUUCAUACUUUCUUUAUUUGCUCUCAUUGUUUAUUUCAUUCUCUUGUUCUUGAGGGUGUAGAUACUUGGAAUAGUGUUUUUAAAUCUCAAUUGUCAAUUGAUGAUUAGUGCUACCUCUACCAACACUAGCUAAGCUUUUUGUGAUACCAUAAUUGCGCCUUAUCCCACUGUGGAAGCAGUGGGAAAGCUUGACAAAGUUAAUGAAAGCAUUAGCAGAACAAAUGACUUUCCCUUUGACUUAUCCCACUAUUUUAAAGCGAUCUAUUUCUUAAUUUACCACACUUAAUAAGUAUCUUGGAUAAACUAGCUAUUAGGCAUGAGUUAUAUUUCAUUUUCAUAAUACAAUAAUACACGUUAGGAUUGAAACCAAUACCUAGGAGGCUAAGACAAUAAGAGACUAAACGAAGUGAUAUAUGUUUGGGAUAUAAUAUCAAAUUUUUGAUUUCUUAUAUUCUAGCUGGAGAUAUUUACAAUGAUUUGAUUGUUCAGCUUCAUUUUGGGUUUCUUCUUUAGAUGCGAUAAAUUAAUGGCUGAUAACAUGAAACUCAGCCUCUAAAGGAAGAAAAGCAAUUGAUUUCAACAUUUUAUCCAAAAUGGUUGUUGAAUUGGUGUUACUGUUGAGCUCUAUGUGAUACUUUGGGGGAUGUUUAUUUAUAUUCUGAUAGUUUCAAAACUGUGCCUUGCUUUAUCAAUUGUUUGUUUGUAGGUGUUUACGCCGCAGAAGGUUCAAAGGUGAUAUGUUUGAGAUCAAGGAAGAAUACAUUGAUGGAGUCAUUACCAAGGACGACAAAAGAGAAAUAAUCAAUGGGGAGACAUCCUAUUAUGGUCAAGUCUGAUAAGUGGUGAAUGAAAAUAGCUUGAAAAGGGGGAUUGUGCAUUUGAUCACAGAAGGUACUUUUAAUUUAAUACUUGCCAAUAACUGGGAAAUAUUUGCUUAUUGUCAUUGCUUUUAAUAUUGUGCUUAAAUGUCUUUCAGAGUUAGUAAUUUAAAGUAAAGUGUCUCAGUGUUAUCAAAUAGCGGCUAUAGCGGCGCUAUGCCGCUAUAGCGUAGCGGAUUUUUGGCUAAUCGUGACGCCGCUAUUGCCCGCUAUAGCGCGCUAUUCCCGCUAUUCGCGACAAGUUUAAGCUUUAUAGCACAGGUUCUCAACGUGUAUGCUAUGCACUACCACUUGCGAAGACAAUGGAGAACCAUUCGUGAAGUUUAACCUAUAUGAGUAUGGAGAAAGACUCAAAGACGGUGGAGGAACGAUUGGAGAAGAAGGUUGAUGCUCUUUGGGAUGAGCUGAUGUGCAUCAUUAAAGGCUUCUUCGCUAGUUGAAACUCUUCUUAAACUUUAUCUUUAUCGUUUGACUAUUUUAAAUUUCUUUGGAAUUUUACGGAUUUAUACUUGGAUUA